CAGUAGCCGCGGUAAUACGUAGGGUCCGAGCGUUGUCCGGAAUUAUUGGGCGUAAAGAGCUCGUAGGCGGUCUGUCGCGUCUGCCGUGAAAUCCUCAGGCUCAACCUGAGGCGUGCGGUGGGUACGGGCAGGCUAGAGUGCGGUAGGGGAGAAUGGAACUCCUGGUGUAGCGGUGGAAUGCGCAGAUAUCAGGAAGAACACCGAUGGCGAAGGCAGUUCUCUGGGCCGUAACUGACGCUGAGGAGCGAAAGCGUGGGGAGCGAACAGGAUUAGAUACCCCUGUAGUCCCUGUCUCUUAUAC
rnacentral:rRNA from 1 species